GACGAACGCUGGCGGCGUGCUUAACACAUGCAAGUCGAACGGAAAGGCCCUGCUUUUGUGGGGUGCUCGAGUGGCGAACGGGUGAGUAACACGUGAGUAACAUGCCCUUGACUUUGGGGUAACUUCAGGAAACUGGGGCUAAUACCGGAUAGGAGAUCCUGCUGCAUGGUGGGGGAUGGAAAGUUUCGGAGGUUUGGGAUGGAAUCGCGGCUAAUCAGCUUGUUGGUGGGGUGGUGGCGUACAAAGGCUUUGACGGGUAGCCGGCCUGGGAGGGUGACCGGCCCCAUUGGGCCUGAGAAACGGCCCGUACUCCAUCGGGAGGCAGCGGUGGGGAUCUGUCCAAAAUGGGCGGAGGCCUGAUGGAGCAAUGCCGCGUCCUGGAUGACGGCCUUCGGGUUGUAAACCGCUUUCGCCUGUGACGAAGCGUGAGUGACGGUAAUGGGUAAAGAAGCACCGGCUAACUACGUG
rnacentral:rRNA from 1 species